AUCAUAGAAGGCUGCAUUCGGGCAGUCAGUAGUGUGAGUUCUAGUUUGGCUCCAGUAAUUCAUUUCUCAUUGAACAACAAAGACCAAAAUCGAAAAUGCCGUUUAAUAAGCCCCCGGAAAUAUCGUUUCCUAUACACAAUAGCCACUUCAACAAGACUAUGGCCAAUGUUAAAGUGGCAUGUGUACUGGCCCUAACUGCUCCUCUCUUGUUGUACGCUUUCCGGAAUGUACCACAUAAGAGGAAGUAUAAGUACUUCUAUUCGCACUACGAUCCUUUGGAUGCCUUCGAUCGCAUGAUGAACGGAGGCUACUUGGAGUCAUGUCCUCCUGGCAGUGGAGGCAAGAAGGACAAAGACAAAGACAAGGACAAAAAGAAGAAGAAAUAAACAAACAAUAAUGCAUAUGUAACGAUUAAAUAGUGUAAUGGAUAGAAAGGUAUUAGAACACAUACAAUGUUAUUUAGUAAUAUAUGAAAAUCACACUGGAAAGGAAAUCAAACAAGAUUUCCUUAAUUUUGGUCCAUCGAAUCCAAAAUUGCAAUACACAGCAAGAAUAAACGGAAAAUGGACGCAUCUGAAAACUGAUCUCAACUUAAAUCGCAGCAACCUACGCGAACUUUGCAAUAUUAUACUACACACUUAAAAAGAAUAAACGGUAAUGGACGCUUCUGCAAACUUAUAGAAGCAUAUCAACACACUUAAAAAAAUAUAAAAGGUAAUGGACGCUACCGCCCUCUUUGAGCUUACAUCGACAUCAUAAAAGGCUGUUUUGGAUAUCGAUGAUCAAAAUUUAAACCUACACAUUAACUUUUAACUAAACACUUUAACUAGACGCUUUACUAAUCUUGUUAACGCAGAUUGAACUCUCCACAAACUUCAAUUAUAAAUAAAUGUGACGCCGCCUGAA
rnacentral:misc_RNA from 1 species